CUAUUGAUGGUAUUAUUAAGAGUAAUUGCUUAUCUCUUGUAAAAGGUAAAAAUAAAUAAUUAUUCAUAUUCUAAAUUUAGUCCUUUGGAUGUGUAUGCCAGUAUUUGUACAAAUAAUUUUAUUUAAGCUGAUUUUUUACUUCAGUUUAUAUAGAACCAAGAAUUAAGUUAUUUAGUUAUCAAGAAUCAAGAUAGUUAAUUUUAUAGCUGUUUUGAAAACUCAGUUUCAAAAGAUGGAAAAGGAUACUCUACCAAAGCAGAGUUCCCUAGAAUAUUCACAGAUAGAAUUAUAUAUUUCAGUCUACUCUGCAUGUCGUUUAUCAGAAGUCCAUUUCAGCCCCUCCAAACCCAUGUUUUACGGUUGCCACCUUCUACUUCAUGUUUAGUCCAAGUAAUGUUUGAAGUCCCUGAGUAGAAGAUGGAACCUCUCCGCAUCAAAUCAGUUUUUCCCACAAAUAUGACUUACCUUGAAAGCUCAAUAGAAGGAAACAAAGACAAAAAAAGAAACAAAUGGCUUUUAGGCUAAUUACCUUUUAUUUAGUCUUGCUUCCACAUUUUUUAUUACCUUUACUUAUAUUUAAAG
rnacentral:lncRNA from 1 species